AACGAACGCUGGCGGCAGGCCUUAUACAUGCAAGUCGAGCGCAUCCUUCGGGAUGAGCGGCGGACGGGUGAGUAACGCGUGGGAAUGUGCCCUUUGGCCUGGAAUAACACGAGGAAACUUGUGCUAAUACCGGAUAAGUCUUUUACGGAGAAAGCUUUAUGCACCAUUGGAUGAGCCCGCACUUGAUUAGCUAGUUGGUAAGGUAAAAGCUUACCAAGGCAACGAUCAAUAGCUGUUCUUAGAGGAAGACCAGCCACAUUGGGACUGAGACACGGCCCAGACUCCUACGGGAGGCAGCAGUGGGGAAUCUUGCACAAUGGGGGAAACCCUGAUGCAGCGAUGCCGCGUGAGUGAAGAAGGCCCUUGGGUUGUAAGGCUCUUUCGUCGGGGAAGAAAAUGACUGUACCCGAAUAAGAAGGUCCGGCUAACUUCGUG
rnacentral:rRNA from 1 species